GCUGACGUCACGGCGCUGCCCGGAACCCAGCUGAGUUUCCCGCACGGCCGUUCCCGGCAGCUGCCGCCCCCCCCACCGCGCCCCCCCCUCAGCACCGCCCCGCGGCGGGAGGCGGCGCCAUCCGGGAACAGCCGGCAGGGGGCAGCCCCCCCGCGCCGCCGCGAGCCGUGACGUAUGGCGGGGAGGCCGCGCUGAUUGGCCAUCAGGGCCCGUCCCUCGCGGGGCUGCGGGAGCGUCGCGCCGCUAUUGGUCGCGCUCGGCGUGACGUAAGGGGCGGGGCCGGGCGGGCAGCAGGUUUCUCGUCAUUCGGGCAGGGUCCGGACGCGAUCGUCGCCGGUACCGGGAGUCGCUGCCCCGCCCCGUCCGGGACCGCCGCAGACGGGAUUUCUGCCCUUCCCGCGGCGCCCAGCAGGCCCUGGCCCGGCAGGGGCAGCUCCCCGGAGCCGACAAGGCUUCGACCCACUGCGGUGCUGGCAUCACCGUCCCUGCCUGCGGGGUCCGGGGGCUGGGCCCGCCCGUGAAGCGGGCUGACAACCCACCACCCCCAGCCCGAGUGGGCUUCUCGGAGAGGGGAACGCAUCCAGGCUGGCGGAGCUGCUGCCCGGUCCGGUUGCGGUGAGGCUGGGAUGGUGAGCGGCUGUCGGGCCCGUGUGCUGCGGGAUGGGGUUUGGGGCAGAGGCUGAUACAGCCGGUCGCAGCGGUGAGGUGUUUGUGCUGAUGAAAUGAUGUGUAACCAAGACAGAAAGCCUAGCUGGCGGUCCGGCGCCUGGGCGGACUGCGGCUUGAAGACCUGGCUGAUGUCUCCAGCAGAGCUGGGAGCUCCAGGCUGCAGCUUUACCUGCCCCUGCCCCCCCACCCCGAACAGAACCGCUCGCCUGGGGCCACCUGCCUGGAGCAGGCUUCAGUCUGAAGCCGUCCUACAGGCGGUGGGUGCGCUGCAGCGUGGCCGAGGUGCGGAGCAGACCUGUUAGGCUCUGCAUCACGGGGGGAAUGCGAGCCGUGUGCCCGAGCUGCUCGAGUGCUCUGUGGGGGCUGGCAGCUCUGCCCACCUCCCCUCUGCCCCUCGGCUUCCCACCGCUCGGCACAACGCUGUGUGUGACGCUUGUUCCACAGGCUGCCUGUGCCCCCCCUGUGUGCGCCUGUUGCAGGGGCACAGCUGGAG
rnacentral:lncRNA from 1 species